rnacentral:SRP_RNA from 1 species
GCCGGGUGUGGUGACGCACGCCUGUAGUCCCAGCUACUUGGGAGGCUGAGGCAGAAUUGCUUGAACCUGGGAAGCAGAGGUUGCGGUGAGCCGAGAUCGUGCCAUUGCACUCCAGCCUGGGUGACAAGAGCGAAACUCCGUCUAAAAAAAUAUAUAUAUAUUAUUAUUAUUAUUAUUUUUUGAGAUGGAGUUUCGCUCUUGUCGCCCAGGCUGGAGUGCAAUGGCGCAAUCUCGGCUCACCGCAACCUCCGCCUCCCGGGUUCAAGCGAUUCUCCUGCCUCUG